UACAGAGGGGGCAAGCGUUGUUCGGAAUUACUGGGCGUAAAGCGCACGUAGGCGGAUUGUUAAGUCGGGGGUGAAAUCCUGGAGCUCAACUCCAGAACUGCCUUCGAUACUGGCGAUCUCGAGUUCGGGAGAGGUGAGUGGAACUGCGAGUGUAGAGGUGAAAUUCGUAGAUAUUCGCAAGAACACCAGUGGCGAAGGCGGCUCACUGGCCCGAUACUGACGCUGAGGUGCGAAAGCGUGGGGAGCAAACAGG
rnacentral:rRNA from 1 species